GCAGGCAGUGGGGAGAGGGGAGCGGGGGCGCUGUGUUCCCUUUCCCUCUCAUCACUAACCUCCCACCUUCCAGCGGUUUCUGAAAGUCUCCAGAAGAAGAAUUCUUAGCGAUCUACAGGCAAGAGAUUUGCUCUCUAAACUCCUCCUUCUCCCAGAAGAGCUCUCCUACCCAGAGUCCCUCAUGCUCAGCAUGCAGUGCAGACAGAAAUAGCAGCCAUCUACAUGAAUUGUGGAUCCACGCACUCAUUCCAAGAUCUUCUUUCAGCGAGCAAUGGAUUCUUCAUGCAUGUGAUCCUCACUACGUACCCUACAAAGACCUUGCUAAUGCUUAGAGAUCAAAUUAUUUGUGUAUCUUUUCAGUGGAGGAAAUGAUCCAUCCACCUGAUAGUGUGUGAGCUUGUAUCCCCUCCUUCUUUUUCCCUCUCAUGGGAAAACAAAUCAACUGUUUUUCCUUUUCCUUCUCACAGACUGCAAGUCAUGCUAUCUUUCACCAAGGAGGAAAAGUUGCAUCUGAGUUAUUGCUGUGAAGAAGUAGUUUGCAGGCACGGGCAGCUGGCAUUUUUUUGUCUCUAUGUGAAGAGGAUCAAUGCAAUUCAUGUUUUCUUGUUCGCACAAAGCUAGAUUUGAAAAUUCCUGGAAAAUCAAGGAAAUGUUUAGAGAAAUUGUUAAAAUUUUGGGAAACAGGAAAUCUGAGAGGAAGGUCAGGUUUUCGUAGUCUGGAUAUGCUAUCGGAGAAGUGAGAAGGGGUGAGAAGAUGGGUAGGGUGAGCUUCUUUCUUUUCUAGGCGCUCAUCCCCUGAUUGGCCAAUGUGUUGGUUUCCUAGGGCUGCUGUAACAAAU
rnacentral:lncRNA from 10 species